rnacentral:tRNA from 1 species
ACUCCGGUAGUUCAAAGGUUAGAACGGGCGACUUAUAAUCGCUUGAUGCUUGGUUCGAGUCCAGCUCGGAGUA